rnacentral:rRNA from 1 species
UGGAGGCAGCAGUGGGGAAUUGUUCGCAAUGGGCGCAAGCCUGACGACGCAACGCCGCGUGGAGGAUGAAGACCUUCGGGUCGUAAACUCCUUUCGACCGAGAUGAAUUUCUGCCGGCCUAACAUGCCGGCGGGGUGACAGUAUCGAGGGAAGCAGCCCCGGCUAACUCCGUGCCAGCAGCCGCGGUAAUACGGGGGGGGCAAGCGUUGUUCGGAAUUACUGGGCGUAAAGGGUUCGUAGGUGGCUUGUUAAGUCAGACGUGAAAUCCCUCGGCUCAACCGGGGAACUGCGUCUGAGACUGAUGAGCUCGAGUGCAGGAGAGGAACGCGGAAUUCCAGGUGUAGCGGUGAAAUGCGUAGAUAUCUGGAGGAACACCGGUGGCGAAGGCGGCGUUCUGGACUGCAACUGACACUGAGGAACGAAAGCCAGGGGAGCAAACGGGAUUAGAUACCCCGGUAGG